rnacentral:rRNA from 1 species
UACGUAGGGGGCAAGCGUUGUCCGGAAUUAUUGGGCGUAAAGAGCGCGUAGGCGGUCCGAUAAGUCGGCUGUGAAAGUCAGGGGCUCAACCCUUGGAAGCCGGCCGAUACUGUCGGACUAGAGUCCGGAAGAGGCGAGUGGAAUUCCCGGUGUAGCGGUGAAAUGCGCAGAUAUCGGGAGGAACACCAAUGGCGAAGGCAGCUCGCUGGGACGGUACUGUCGCUGAGGCGCGAAAGCGUGGGGAGCAAACAGG